AGUGAACGCUGGCGGUAGGCCUAACACAUGCAAGUCGAACGGCAGCACAGUAAGAGCUUGCUCUUACGGGUGGCGAGUGGCGGACGGGUGAGGAAUACAUCGGAAUCUACUUUUUCGUGGGGGAUAACGUAGGGAAACUUACGCUAAUACCGCAUACGACCUACGGGUGAAAGCAGGGGAUCUUCGGACCUUGCGCGAUUGAAUGAGCCGAUGUCGGAUUAGCUAGUUGGCGGGGUAAAGGCCCACCAAGGCGACGAUCCGUAGCUGGUCUGAGAGGAUGAUCAGCCACACUGGAACUGAGACACGGUCCAGACUCCUACGGGAGGCAGCAGUGGGGAAUAUUGGACAAUGGGCGCAAACCUGAUCCAGCCCUACCGCGUGGGUGAAGAAGGCCUUCGGGUUGUAAAGCCCUUUUGUUGGGAAAGAAAAGCAGCAGGUUAAUACCCCGCUGUUCUGACGGUACCCAAAGAAUAAGCACCGGCUAACUUCGUG
rnacentral:rRNA from 1 species